UACGUAGGGGGCAAGCGUUGUCCGGAAUUAUUGGGCGUAAAGAGCGCGUAGGCGGCCAGAUAAGUCCGGUGUGAAAGUCACAGGCUCAACCUGUGAAUGCCGCUGGAAACUGUCUGGCUAGAGUCCGGGAGGGGCGAGUGGAAUUCCUGGUGUAGCGGUGAAAUGCGCAGAUAUCAGGAGGAACACCAAUGGCGAAGGCAGCUCGCUGGGACGGUACUGACGCUGAGACGCGAAAGCGUGGGGAGCAAACAGG
rnacentral:rRNA from 1 species